UGCGCAGGCGGUUUUACAAGUCAGGGGUGAAAGCCCAGAGCUCAACUCUGGAAAUGCCCUUGAAACUGUUAAGCUCGAGUGCGGGAGAGGUGAGUGGAAUUCCCAGUGUAGAGGUGAAAUUCGUAGAUAUUGGGAAGAACACCGGUGGCGAAGGCGGCUCACUGGCCCGUUUCUGACGCUCAUGCACGAUAGCGUGGGGAUCAAACAGGAUUAGAUACCCUGGUAGUCCACGCCGUAAACUAUGGACGCUAGCCGUUGGGUAGCUUGCUAUUCAGUGGCGCAGCUAACGCCUUAAGCGUCCCGCCUGGGGAGUACGGCCGCAAGGUUGAA
rnacentral:rRNA from 1 species